AUGAACGCUGGCGGCGUGCCUAAUACAUGCAAGUCGAGCGAACAGAUGAGGAGCUUGCUCCUCUGACGUUAGCGGCGGACGGGUGAGUAACACGUGGAUAACCUACCUAUAAGACUGGGAUAACUUCGGGAAACCGGAGCUAAUACCGGGUAAUAUAUUGAACCGCAUGGUUCAAUAGUGAAAGACGGUUUUGCUGUCACUUAUAGAUGGAUCCGCGCCGCAUUAGCUAGUUGGUAAGGUAACGGCUUACCAAGGCAACGAUGCGUAGCCGACCUGAGAGGGUGAUCGGCCACACUGGAACUGAGACACGGUCCAGACUCCUACGGGAGGCAGCAGUAGGGAAUCUUCCGCAAUGGGCGAAAGCCUGACGGAGCAACGCCGCGUGAGUGAUGAAGGUCUUCGGAUCGUAAAACUCUGUUAUUAGGGAAGAACAAAUGUGUAAGUAACUAUGCACGUCUUGACGGUACCUAAUCAGAAAGCCACGGCUAACUACGUG
rnacentral:rRNA from 1 species